AAAUUUAUAAGCAAAUUUCCAUUUGAAUUUACACUUAUUAAUGACACAACUUUCUAAGAGACAAGAACCAAGUUCCUAGAACAUAUUCAAAGUAAUAAUAAAUUCUUCCCAAGAAACGAAGUUCAUGAAACAGAAAAUUCAUGAACCACAGAAACCAAAGAGACAAAACAUAAAUUCUUCCCAAACAACGAAAUUUAUGAAUCAGAAAAUUUAUAACCCACAAAAACCAAAGAGACAACAUUAACUAACCUCGGAAACCAAAAAGACAAAACCAUAAGUCAAAGAAACAAAACAUAUGUCUAGCUUACAAUUUCUAACAUGAAGCAGAUCUUCCUUUUUCUUUUUCCAGGGAAUCUGCAGCUUUCUUGGCAUUUCCAUGCUUAUUCUCUCGUUCCAUACCCAACAAAUGGGAACAUCAGCUGAGAACAAGAAAUGAAGCAGUUGCAAUGCCAUGAUAAAGACCAAAUAUUACCUUCGUCUUUUCUCCAAGAUAGCUUAAAGUUGCAAUGCCAAAGAUUGCACAGUUGGAGACAGUAGCUUUACAAGAGUAAAUGCUGAAGGGAGAUAAGAAAUAAAACCUACAGGAACAAAAAGACUUCAAUCUGUCAUAGGGGAGCAAGAUCAGUU
rnacentral:lncRNA from 1 species